CCCACGCAGACAUCCUUGGGGACGUGCCCCUGCUGUGAGAAGCGCGACUGUGGUGCGGAGGGUCCUCCUGCUCCCCUGCUGCGGCUGUGCCUCCGAACCCCGCUGUGCCCACGGUCUCCGGCCGCGCCAGCCCAGGGUUCCAGAAGGUUCAAGUUCAAGAAAUGAUGCUUCUCUGUGCCUUGCUCCUAGCCGUUGGCUGGCCGUUGGUCAGCAAUCAAAAUAUAUCAGCUUGGACCUACAAUUUGAAAUGCCAUGAGUGUUCCAUCAUCAACACCUUCAACUGUCCAAAUCUGAGAACAUGUGCCUAUGAAGUAAGGCGCUGUCUGAUAGUCUCUAUUCGUUUGAAUGUUCGGGAACUAUACGUUUACAAGAACUGCACAUCCAACUGCACUUUUUUAUAUCCAUCCGAAACACCUCCUGAAGCCCCGAGAAUCCUUAAAACUAAUAGUUUUUAUUUUGUUCAUUGUUGUAAUUCUAUGAGUUGCAAUGACGGAGGACCUACUAAUUUUGAGAGGGAUAUCCUACCUGAUUAUACAAUUGAGGAGGAGUUAGAGGGAACUGUGCGCCUGGGAGAGUCAACAUUUUUCCUGAGCGUUGCCUCCAUCCUAGUCAGCAAUACACUGACAUGAGAAGCCCUCUUGGAGGGCCUGAUCUCUCCCCCCAUUCCUCAGAGCAAGUUCACUCUCCUUUCCUCCCUUGUGAGCGGGGACCCUGACCCACACGCCUCCCAGUUGGCCGGUUACCCCUUUAAGCUUAUUUCAAGAGAGAAAUAAAGAACAUCAUUGUUUGGGUACUGCUUACCCGGAGAUUUCUUUGUGGUUUUAGCGUUUGAUCUGUUCGUUCCUCUUUAGACAU